GCCCAGAGCCUGAAUCAGUGUGUGUGUUAGUGGAAGCGUCUGGAAAGGCGCGCGAUACAGGGUGACAGCCCCGUACACAAAAAUGCACAUGCUGUGAGCUCGAUGAGUAGGGCGGGACACGUGGUAUCCUGUCUGAAUAUGGGGGGACCAUCCUCCAAGGCUAAAUACUCCUGACUGACCGAUAGUGAACCAGUACCGUGAGGGAAAGGCGAAAAGAACCCCGGCGAGGGGAGUGAAAAAGAACCUGAAACCGUGUACGUACAAGCAGUGGGAGCACGCUUAGGCGUGUGACUGCGUACCUUUUGUAUAAUGGGUCAGCGACUUAUAUUCUGUAGCAAGGUUAACCGAAUAGGGGAGCCGAAGGGAAACCGAGUCUUAACUGGGCGUUAAGUUGCAGGGUAUAGACCCGAAACCCGGUGAUCUAGCCAUGGGCAGGUUGAAGGUUGGGUAACACUAACUGGAGGACCGAACCGACUAAUGUUGAAAAAUUAGCGGAUGACUUGUGGCUGGGGGUGAAAGGCCAAUCAAACCGGGAGAUAGCUGGUUCUCCCCGAAAGCUAUUUAGGUAGCGCCUCGUGAAUUCAUCUCCGGGGGUAGAGCACUGUUUCGGCAAGGGGGUCAUCCCGACUUACCAACCCGAUGCAAACUGCGAAUACCGGAGAAUGUUAUCACGGGAGACACACGGCGGGUGCUAACGUCCGUCGUGAAGAGGGAAACAACCCAGACCGCCAGCUAAGGUCCCAAAGUCAUGGUUAAGUGGGAAACGAUGUGGGAAGGCCCAGACAGCCAGGAUGUUGGCUUAGAAGCAGCCAUCAUUUAAAGAAAGCGUAAUAGCUCACUGGUCGAGUCGGCCUGCGCGGAAGAUGUAACGGGGCUAAACCAUGCACCGAAGCUGCGGCAGCGACGCUUAUGCGUUGUUGGGUAGGGGAGCGUUCUGUAAGCCUGUGAAGGUGUGCUGUGAGGCAUGCUGGAGGUAUCAGAAGUGCGAAUGCUGACAUAAGUAACGAUAAAGCGGGUGAAAAGCCCGCU
rnacentral:rRNA from 1 species